UGCUAGAUGUUUUAGCAAGCGCGUUGA
rnacentral:sRNA from 1 species